rnacentral:rRNA from 1 species
AUUGAACGCUGGCGGCAUGCCUUACACAUGCAAGUCGAACGGUAACAGGUCUUCGGAUGCUGACGAGUGGCGAACGGGUGAGUAAUACAUCGGAACGUGCCUAGUAGUGGGGGAUAACUACUCGAAAGAGUGGCUAAUACCGCAUGAGAUCUACGGAUGAAAGCAGGGGAUCGCAAGACCUUGUGCUACUAGAGCGGCCGAUGGCAGAUUAGGUAGUUGGUGGGAUAAAAGCUUACCAAGCCGACGAUCUGUAGCUGGUCUGAGAGGACGAUCGGCCACACUGGGACUGAGACACGGCCCAGACUCCUCAGGGAGGCAGCAGUGGGGAAUUUUGGACAAUGGGCGCAAGCCUGAUCCAGCAAUGCCGCGUGCAGGAUGAAGGCCUUCGGGUUGUAAACUGCUUUUGUACGGAACGAAAAGCCCCGGGUUAAUACCCUGGGGUCAUGACGGUACCGUAAGAAUAAGCACCGGCUAACUACGUGCCAGCCGCCGCGGUAA